rnacentral:misc_RNA from 1 species
CAGCUCCUCUGAGGCCGGGCGGGCGUCGGGGAUGCAUGCAGUUGGCGGGUCUCUCGUUGGAAAGCAAUACUGAGCCGCUGGAACAGGAAGUUGGCUGCCGUAGUGCUUGCUGACUCAGUCACCCAGGUUCCUGGAGGCCUCGUCAGGGAGUGAGCAGCACCACUCGUGUUGCUGUUCGUUACAACUAGAUUUUUUCCUUCCCUGCGUUGAAUGUAUAAUGAAGGGAAACACUCAUAUGACCUUCAGAAAUGAGUGGAAUGGACAGACACAAAGGUGUACGACACUUCGAAAGUGGUGCUGCAUAGAGAAAGACAUCUAAAGUACGUGCUGAGAGAGAAGCUAAAGAAUUUACAAAAACACUUCGACUGACUGAAUUCUUCACUCGUCCAUCAGCUUCAGAACAUCUGGUCAGUGCUUCUGCAAGCUCAUCUUCAAGGCAGCCAGAAGAAGUACCUGCAUGUGAUGCAUCAGCUUCCUCUUUAUAUGGCAGCUCUAGCCUAUCUACAGGGGGAAAUGACCAGACUGCCGAGGAGAUUGAAAUUGAAUCAAAGCAUGUGCCUCCUGAAGUGCAAAUGGCAACUACACAAAAUUAUGACAUUGUUAUUUGACAAAACAAUUUAUUGAUUAUUGGGCUGCGAACGGUUCUGAGAGUCUCCACCACAGUGAUGCGAAAUUUUUGGAUGCAAAAUCAGCAGUACAAAAAGAUGCAAACAAUGUCAGUCGCAAAUGCACACCAGCCAUGUUUGAGCGAAGGAAUCGAAAUAGGGAAGUUGUAAAGCGUUCUUGGCUUUGUUUCUCCCCCGCAAAUGGGCGGGUCUACUGCUUCUUUUGCAAGCUAAUGGGUGUUUCAAGAUCUCAAUUCACAUCUGAUGGGUUCUGCGACUGGAAGCAUGCUAAUAGGCUUGUUGUCCAUGAGCAAUCAAAGGACCACAUUCAAGCAGUUUUGUCAGCAGCAAGUCGUGCAAAGGGAGCUGGAGGUAUAGAUUCUAAACUAACUACGCGUGUGGGUCAAAUUGAGCAGUAUUGGUGGAGUCUUGUAAAGCGAUUGAUCAGCGUGCUUAAAUUUAUAUGUGAAAGAGGGCUAGCUCUUCGUGGAGAUGAUGAAAUAAUUGGAUCUCCUCAUACUGGAAAUUACUUGGGAUUACAAGAGCUUUUGGCCGAGUAUGAUGAUUUCCUCAGGCAACACAUCCAGAAUCAUGCUAAUCGUGGCACUGGUCAUACAAACUAUUUGUCUUCAACCAUCUGUGAAGAAAUUGUCAGACUAAUGGGCAAUGAAGUACUGAACGAAAUUAUCUCACGUAUAAAGCUCUCAAAAUAUUACUCAAUUUCUGUAGAUUCCACCCCUGAUGAAGGCCAUAUUGAUGAACUAACUCUGAUAAUCAGAUACAUGGAGCAUGACACACCUGUUGAGAGAUUUGUAAAAUUCUUGCCAAAUCAAGGACACAAGGCUCAUGAACUGUUUGAAGGUUUGAUGAAGUUUCUUGCAGACAAUGACAUUGGCAUUCAAAAUUGUCGUGGGCAAUCUUAUGAUAAUGCAACAUCUAUGAGUGGGAGGUACAAUGGUAUGCAAGCCAAAGUUGUAGCUGAAAAUCAUCAUGCAAUUUGGAUACCCUGUGCUGGUCAUUCAUUAAACUUGGUUGGAAAAGCUGCAGCUGAAUGUUGUGAAGAAGCUAUCUUAUUUUUUUUCUUGAGGCAAUUUAUGUGUUCUUCACAGCUCCUACACAUCGUUAUGCAAUUCUUAGUGAUUUAUUGAAAACUGUAGCGUCUGGCCCGGUAUCUGUGCCAAAGAGGAUUUCCACAACAUGAUGGUCCUGUCGAGCAGUUGCAGUUAAAGCAGUUGUCCAAGGUUAUCUCCCAAACCGUGAAGCACUUGCUAAAAUAGCUAGAGAUGAAAAUGAGACGAGCAAAACAUGUUAUGAAGCCAAUGGUCUCCAUGAUAAGAUGUGCAAGUUAGAGACUGCUAUUUAUGCUGUGUUUUGGCAUGACAUUCUUGGCAGAGUUGAUGCAGCAAGCCAUGCAUUGCAAGAUCCUAAACUCGAUUUGAACACAGCAGUAGCAAUGCUGAAGUCCUUGGAAUGUUUUGUACGAGAAAAAAGAGAUUGCUUCCAUGUUUAUGAGAAGAAGGGAAGGGAAAUGUCAGAAACUGGGGAUUAUUCACAGACACGCAAGCGUCAACGUAAUGUACGACUCAAUCCAUUGGAUUAUGGGCGAUCAGAAGAAGCAGCCCUCUCACAGUCAGAAAAAUUUCGGGUUCAGAAUUUCCUUCCAGCAAUUGAUCAGUUCCUGAGUUCACUGAAUCAACGGUUAAAGGCCUAUGAGGAAACCUGUUUACUUUUCGGGUUCUUGUUAAAACUGGAGUCAAUGAAUUGUAACGAAAUUGAAGCAGCUGCAGCAAAAUUGGUUGCUGAGUACAAAAAUGAUUUAGAUCAAACACUUGGAGUUGAACUUGUGCAGUUUACAGCAUUCUUCACUCAAUUUCUUGAAGACGAAGAUGAUGAGAAAGGGAGGGCACAUUACCUUUUCAAGCUGUUGAUAGACAAGAAAGUUGUAGAUACAUUUCCAAAUGUUGAAAUAAUGCUACGGAUGUACUUGCUGCUCUUGGUCACAAAUUGUUCUGGUGAACGUUCUUUCAGUAAAAUGAAGUUUAUUAAAAACAGACUUCGUACUACAAUGUGUCAUGAUAGGCUCAGCCACCUGGCUUUGAUGAGUAUCGAAUAUGACAUCCUCAGAGAGAUUGACUUCGAAAAGUUGAUCAAAAACUUUGCAGCGGCCUGGUCACGUAAGGUGCCUGGUCUGUAAAUAAAGGUAUAUGUAAGGGCUGUAACGAGCUGCCCUGGACCUUCCCCCUGAGAGCUGACGCCUGAGAGUUUUGGAGGCGAGCUAGACUGCUUCACUCGGGCCUCGCACUGGUGAGGGGCGGAUCACUGCGUUCCCAGAACACUCUACAGUGCUGGUUAGAAGGAAGAUUCAUCUACGGCCGUAGGAAAUAACUGUACUUUGUUUUAUUGAUUAUGCUUUGUUUUAGUAAUUGUGUUUGACUCCAGUGCUGUUUAUUUAAUGUUGGUGAGAUUGGUGACAGAGUUAAAAUUUUUGUGAAUAUUUCUUAGUAAAGAGAUAUCCUCUCU